rnacentral:misc_RNA from 1 species
UCCGUGUUCACCACGGCAGUCUCUUUAGAGUGCCCAACUGAAUGCUGGCAACUAAAGACAAGGGUUGCGCUCGUUGCGGGACUUAACCCAACAUGUCACCACACGAGCUGACGACAGCCAUGCAGCACCUGUCUUCCUGCUGUAUUGCUACAGAAGCCGUAUCUCUACGGAUGUCAGGAGAUGUCAAACCCAGGUAAGGUUCUUCGCGUUGCUUCGAAUUAAACCACAUGAUCCACCGCUUGUGCGGGCCCCCGUCAAUUCCUUUGAGUUUUAGUCUUGCGACCGUACUUCCCAGGCGGGGCACUUAUCGCGUUAGCUCAGACUCGGCAGGGGUCAAGACCCGCCAAAUCGAGUGCCCAUCGUUUACAGCGUGGACUAC